AUUGAACGCUGGCGGAAUGCUUUACACAUGCAAGUCGAACGGCAGCACGGACUUCGGUCUGGUGGCGAGUGGCGAACGGGUGAGUAAUGUAUCGGAACGUGCCCAGUCGUGGGGGAUAACGUAGUGAAAAUUACGCUAAUACCGCAUACGAUCUAUGGAUGAAAGCGGGGGAUAGCAAGACCUCGCGCGAUUGGAGCGGCCGAUAUCAGAUUAGGUAGUUGGUGGGGUGAAGGCCCACCAAGCCAACGAUCUGUAGCUGGUCUGAGAGGACGACCAGCCACACUGGAACUGAGACACGGUCCAGACUCCUACGGGAGGCAGCAGUGGGGAAUUUUGGACAAUGGGCGAAAGCCUGAUCCAGCCAUUCCGCGUGCAGGAUGAAGGCCCUCGGGUUGUAAACUGCUUUUGUACAGAACGAAAAGGUUUCUACUAAUACUAGGAGCUCAUGACGGUACUGUAAGAAUAAGCACCGGCUAACUACGUGCCAGCCGCCGCAGUAA
rnacentral:rRNA from 1 species